UACGAAGGGGGCUAGCGUUGCUCGGAAUUACUGGGCGUAAAGGGCGCGUAGGCGGAUAGUUUAGUCAGAGGUGAAAGCCCAGGGCUCAACCUUGGAACUGCCUUUGAUACUGGCUAUCUUGAGUUCGGGAGAGGUGAGUGGAAUGCCGAGUGUAGAGGUGAAAUUCGUAGAUAUUGGGAAGAACACCGAUGGCGAAGGCAGCCAUCUGGACCGACACUGACGCUGAGGCGCGAAAGCGUGGGGAGCAAACAGG
rnacentral:rRNA from 1 species